GCCAAAUGCUCAUAGCUGUCCUCGCUGCCUGAACCCAAGUUCUGUAGGGGUCAUUUUCUCGUCCUGUGGUGAUCUUGAUGUGUCUGAAAGUUUUAAGUAAUAUGUAUCUGAAUUACUUUGAAAAAAUAAUUUGUUCCUGAGGCUCUUUGAACUCUGAAGAUCUGGAGUGGAUGAUGUGGCUCUCUCACUCUCUUCACUUCUUCAGCAAGUGCUACUAGCUGGAAAUUUUGUAAAUUGCUUUUGAAAAACAACAACAACAACAACAAAAACCAUCCAUGUUCUUUUCACAAACUUCCGACUACAUUCAGAUUUGCUAGGGGUGUUAUUACAGGUCGUGAUCUCAGGAUCCUGGGAUGAAGACCCACAUCAGGCUCCUUGCUCAGUGGGGAGCCUGCUUCUCCCUCUCCCUCUGCAGCUACCUGCUGUUUGUGCUUGUUCAAUCUCUCUCUGUGUCAAAUAAAUAAAUAAAAUAUU